rnacentral:rRNA from 1 species
AACGUAGGAGGCGAGCGUUAUCCGGAUUUACUGGGUGUAAAGCGCGUGCAGGCGGUCGGCUAAGUUCGGUGUGAAAGCGCCUGGCUCAACCGGGCGAGGACGCCGAAGACUGGCGGACUGGAGGCAGGGAGAGGUCUGUGGAAUUCCGGGUGUAGUGGUGAAAUGCGUAGAGAUCCGGAGGAACACCAGUGGCGAAGGCGGCAGACAGGCCCUGACCUGACGCUCAUACGCGAAAGCACGGGGAGCGAACGGG